AGACCACUGAAGAGGCAGGAUGUAAUCUGCCUGGCUGUGAAAGCCAAGACCAGAUCUCAUGUUUUGUCUCCAAACUAUACCGUGAAUUAGGAACAGAGAUGCAACUGGAGGCCAGAGCAGCAACAGCAGCAACAACAACAAAAACAACAGCAAUAGCAACAACA